AGCAAUUCUAUGAUUCUAUGAUUCUAUGAAUCCCUGGGACAGUGAAUAUGAAAUGUUGAUCACCUAGACUUAAAAGCAGUAAUAACCUAUGCAUAAGAAUCUUUUCUACAGAAAAUGAAAUACCGUAUUAAUGAUGGCAACUAUAAAAUUUUGGAAGAAAACUCAUCUAUCUUUCACAACUAUGAAAGCUGCAAAAAACCCACAUAUUACCUCAGAAGUAAUCUCAGUAUUUUAAUUCCCCUGUGGAUGCAGAUGCCUGAGGCUCAGCCCUGAAGCAGACACGUUGUUCAAGCAUCUUGCACAGUCUACAAAGAACUAUGCGUAUUUCUUGAGUCCUAUGGGGAAUGUUUUUGGAGAUCCCUGUCUACCCUUGCUGACAUCACAGGAGCUUAAGCAAUAGUUCCAGGAAGCGUUUGUAAGUAACUGAAGUUUUCAGUUUAUUCUGGUACUUACUACAUUGAGAGACACAGUAUAUACGUACUAGCGUCUACUAUAUACUACUAUACGUCCAAGGUUCCUUUC
rnacentral:lncRNA from 1 species